rnacentral:lncRNA from 1 species
GAAGAAGAGGCGUGAACCACACACUUCAUGCCUCCUGGGUUUCAUGUCUGGGGCAGGAAAGGCUUCUAGGGUGAAGUCAGACCUGACCUCGGCGAAGGAACAGCUGAAGCUUCUAGAAUGUGGUCAGACCUGAGCGGCAAGGUUUGAAGCCAGCCUGGGCUACUGAGAGCCUCGUCAAAAAACCACCUCACCCACCUUCCUCCAUCAGUGGUUCAGCUACCUUCUGAAACUACAGGUGGUGCUCACAAAGAAUCCUUCCAAGGGCUUCCCAUCAAAAACCGGUCAAUUUCCUCCAGUCUUCCAGCCCAUCCUAGCUCUGAGUAGUCCUCGCCUGGAUUUCACGUCUCUGUUACCACUCUCCUGAGAGCAGGGCCUCUUUCUUCUUCAUGGUCAGGUUCAGGUGAGCACCCACUGGACAUCGGAUGAAAGGAUACGAAGGGAAGAAAGAAGGGACGCAAGAUGUUUAAGGCAAGGCUGGCUGGCACCAGCAGGAAUGGCUACAAGGUCACAGUGGUUUGACAGGGAGCCAGAUGUUUUCUCAAG